rnacentral:misc_RNA from 1 species
GAUGAAGAACGCAGCGAAAUGCGAAAAGUAAUGUGAAUUGCAGAAUUCAGUGAACCAUCGAAUCUUUGAACGCACAUUGCGCCCGCUGGAACUCCGGCGGGCACGCCUGUCCGAGCGUCAUUUCAACCCUCAGGCCCCCCUUCGCGGGCGGGCCUGGUGUUGGGGCCCGGCCGCUACCCUGCGGCCGUCCCCUAAAUUCAGUGGCGGCCUCGCCGUGAUCCCUUGCGUAGUAAUGCACCUCGCACCGGAGAGCGCCGUGGCCACGCCGUAAAACCCCCAAUUUUCAAUGGUUGACCUCGGAUCAGGUGGGAAUACCCGCUGAACUUAAGCAUAUCAAUAGCGGAGGA